rnacentral:lncRNA from 1 species
CUGGACUUUAUACUUUUUUGAAUUAGUCGAAAAGAGUAGGGCACGGUAAUGCCAUUAACAUUUAUUGAUCCAAACUUAGCAUAAGGCCUAAACAAUAGCCGCACCAACCAAAUCCCUAAACAAACAAAAUACCCAAGGCAAAAAGUACGGCAUAAUUCUGAACUCCAUAAUAAGAUCAGAGAGAGAGAGAGAGAGAGAGAGAGAGAGAGAUGUAUAGAAAAUAUGGGAUAAUAAUUUAACAUAAACUUAUAACACUAGGACGUGAUUAUAUAUGUGCACUAGAUUGAAUCCCAUCAACCAAAUAGAUAAGUCGGACAAAUUAUAUAUGUUUGAAACUCUUUAUCCAAACACUCACACACUCAGAGAGUUGACCAAGUAUUUUAUGUAUAGAACUCCAUUGAAAGAGAUUCCAAUUACUCCGAUUUCCGGCUCAACCUUAGGCUCCAACACCGGAAGGAAGCCAUGCAGUGCACAGUGGAAGAGCAUGAGAUUGAGCGGGAGUCGGAGUAAUUACAGAACAUCAGGCUUUUCGUCUACCGCGGCUUUAUGUUU